rnacentral:rRNA from 1 species
ACUCCUGCGGGAGGCAGCAGUGGGGAAUAUUGCACAAUGGGCGCAAGCCUGAUGCAGCCAUGCCGCGUGUAUGAAGAAGGCCUUCGGGUUGUAAAGUACUUUCAGCGGGGAGGAAGGCGAUAAGGUUAAUAACCUUGUCGAUUGACGUUACCCGCAGAAGAAGCACCGGCUAACUCCGUGCCAGCAGCCGCGGUAAUACGGAGGGUGCAAGCGUUAAUCGGAAUUACUGGGCGUAAAGCGCACGCAGGCGGUCUGUCAAGUCGGAUGUGAAAUCCCCGGGCUCAACCUGGGAACUGCAUUCGAGACUGGCAGGCUAGAGUCUUGUAGAGGGGGGUAGAAUUCCAGGUGUAGCGGUGAAAUGCGUAGAGAUCUGGAGGAAUACCGGUGGCGAAGGCGGCCCCCUGGACAAAGACUGACGCUCAGGUGCGAAAGCGUGGGGAGCAAACAGGAUUAGAUACCCUUGUAGUCCCA